AACUAACGCUGGCAGUGCGUCUUAAGCAUGCAAGUCAAACGGGAUGUAGUAAUACAUCUAGUGGCGAACGGGUGAGUAACGCGUGGAUGAUCUACCUAUGAGAUGGGGAUAACUACUAGAAAUAGUGGCUAAUACCGAAUAAGGUCAAUUAAUUUGUUAAUUGAUGAAAGGAAGCCUUUAAAGCUUCGCUUGUAGAUGAGUCUGCGUCUUAUUAGUUAGUUGGUGGGGUAAAUGCCUACCAAGGCGAUGAUAAGUAACCGGCCUGAGAGGGUGAACGGUCACACUGGAACUGAGAUACGGUCCAGACUCCUACGGGAGGCAGCAGCUAAGAAUCUUCCGCAAUGGGCGAAAGCCUGACGGAGCGACACUGCGUGAAUGAAGAAGGUCGAAAGAUUGUAAAAUUCUUUUAUAAAUGAGGAAUAAGCUUUGUAGGAAAUGACAGAGUGAUGACGUUAAUUUAUGAAUAAGCCCCGGCUAAUUACGUGCCAGCAGCCGCGGUAAUACGUAAGGGGCGAGCGUUGU
rnacentral:rRNA from 1 species